GACGAACGCUGGCGGCGUGCUUAACACAUGCAAGUCGUACGGUAAGGCCCUUUCGGGGGUACACGAGUGGCGAACGGGUGAGUAACACGUGAGUAACCUGCCCACAACUUUGGGAUAACGCUAGGAAACUGGUGCUAAUACUGGAUAUGUGCUCCUGCUGCAUGGCGGGGGUUGGAAAGCUCCGGCGGUUGUGGAUGGACUCGCGGCCUAUCAGCUUGUUGGUGGGGUAGUGGCCUACCAAGGCGGCGACGGGUAGCCGGCCUGAGAGGGUGACCGGCCACAUUGGGACUGAGAUACGGCCCAGACUCCUACGGGAGGCAGCAGUGGGGAAUAUUGCACAAUGGGCGCAAGCCUGAUGCGGCAACGCCGCGUGCGGGAUGACGGCCUUCGGGUUGUAAACCGCUUUCAGCAGGGACGAAGCUUUUUGUGACGGUACCUGCAGAAGAAGCACCGGCUAACUACGUG
rnacentral:rRNA from 1 species